UACCAAUUGUUGCCUCGGCGGAUCAGCCCGCUCCCGGUAAAACGGGACGGCCCGCCAGAGGACCCCUAAACUCUGUUUCUAUAUGUAACUUCUGAGUAAAACCAUAAAUAAAUCAAAACUUUCAACAACGGAUCUCUUGGUUCUGGCAUCGAUGAAGAACGCAGCAAAAUGCGAUAAGUAAUGUGAAUUGCAGAAUUCAGUGAAUCAUCGAAUCUUUGAACGCACAUUGCGCCCGCCAGUAUUCUGGCGGGCAUGCCUGUUCGAGCGUCAUUUCAACCCUCAAGCCCCCGGGUUUGGUGUUGGGGAUCGGCGAGCCUCACGGCAAGCCGGCCCCGAAAUACAGUGGCGGUCUCGCUGCAGCUUCCAUUGCGUAGUAGUAAAACCCUCGCAACUGGUACGCGGCGCGGCCAAGCCGUUAAACCCCCAACUUCUGAAUGUUGACCUCGGAUCAGGUAGGAAUACCCGCUGAACUUAAG
rnacentral:rRNA from 1 species